CGGACCAGACUCCUACGGGAGGCAGCAGUGAGGAAUAUUGGUCAAUGGACGGAAGUCUGAACCAGCCAUGCCGCGUGCAGGAAGACGGCCCUACGGGUUGUAAACUGCUUUUAUGUGAGGAUAAACCUAGUCUUGCGAGAUUAGCUGAAGGUAUCACAUGAAUAAGGAUCGGCUAACUCCGUGCCAGCAGCCGCGGUAAUACGGAGGAUUCGAGCGUUAUCCGGAUUUAUUGGGUUUAAAGGGUGCGUAGGCGGGCUAAUAAGUCAGUGGUGAAAUCACUCAGCUUAACUGAGUAACUGCCAUUGAUACUGUUAGUCUAGAAUAUAAAUGGUGCAGGCGGAAUGAAUCAUGUAGAGGUGACAUUCAUAGAUAUGAUUCAGAACACCGAUCGCGAAGGCAGCUUGCAAAGAUAUUAUUGACGCUGAGGCACGAAAGCGUGGGUAGCGAACAGGAUUAGAUACCCUGGUAGUCCACGCUGUAAACGAUGAUAACUCGUUGUCGGCGAUACACAGUCGGUGACUAAGGGAAACCGAUAAGUUAUCCACCUGGGGAGUACGAUCGCAAGGUUGAAACUCAAAGGAAUUGACGGGGGCCCGCACAAGCGGUGGAUUAUGUGGUUUAAUUCGAAGCAACGCGAAGAACCUUACCAGGGCUUGACAUCCUACUAACGAAGUAGAGAUACAUUAGGUGCCCUUCGGGGAAAGUAGAGACAGGUGGUGCAUGGUUGUCGUCAGCUCGUGUCGUGAGAUGUUGGGUUAAGUCCCGCAACGAGCGCAACCCCUAUUGUUAGUUGCUACGCAAGAGCACUCUAGCGAGACUGCCGUUGACAAAACGGAGGAAGGUGGGGACGACGUCAAAUCAUCAUGCCCCUUAUGUCCUGGGC
rnacentral:rRNA from 1 species